rnacentral:rRNA from 1 species
GCGAACGCUGGCGGCAUGCCUAAUACAUGCAAGUCGAACGAUGCCUUCGGGCAGAGUGGCGGACGGGUGAAUAACACGUGGGAAUCUACCCAAUAGUACGGAACAACCACUGGAAACGGUGGCUAAUACCGUAUAUUCCCUUCGGGGGAAAGAUUUAUCGCUAUUGGAGGAGCCUGCGUCUGAUUAGCUAGUUGGUGAGGUAACGGCUCACCAAGGCGACGAUCAGUAGCUGGAUUGAGAGGAUGAUCAGCCACACUGGGACUGAGACACGGCCCAGACUCCUACGGGAGGCAGCAGUAGGGAAUAUUGGACAAUGGGGGAAACCCUGAUCCAGCAAUGCCGCGUGUGUGAAGAAGGCCUUAGGGUUGUAAAGCACUUUCGAUGGGGAAGAUGAUGACGGUACCCAUAGAAGAAGCUCCGGCUAACUCCGU